GAUCAGAUCAAGCGCGAAAAGGGCGUUUGGUGGAUGCCUAGGCAGCAAGAGGCGAUGAAGGACGUGAUACCCUGCGUUAAGCCAUGGGGAGCCGGGAAUAGGCUUUGAUCCAUGGAUCUCCGAAUGGGGAAACCCACCUGAUUGUUCGUUGUUGUCCUACCGCUUCGCUACUUGAGGACUCGUCCGACAGUGGCAAGCGCGGGAUCAUCAAUGGGCAAAGACAGGUAUCAUUACCCUGAAUACAUAGGGGUUUUGAAGCGAACCCGGGGAACUGAAACAUCUAAGUACCCGGAGGAAAGGAAAUCAACAGAGACUCCGUUAGUAGUGGCGAGCGAACGCGGACCAGCCGAUCCUCGAAGAGUGACUGGAAUGCGCUGGAAAGCGCAGCGAUACAGGGUGACAGCCCCGUACAGGAAGCUCCACAGGACAUAUCAAGUAGGGCGGGACACGUGAAAUCCUGUCUGAAGAUCGGGGGACCACCCCCGAAGGCUAAGUACUCCUUGCUGACCGAUAGCGAACCAGUACCGUGAGGGAAAGGUGAAAAGCACCCCGACGAGGGGAGUGAAACAGUACCUGAAACCGGACGCCUACAAGCAGUCGGAGGGUCCCAUGUUCUUCGGAACCGGAGACCUGACGGCGUACCUUUUGUAUAAUGGGUCAACGACUUGGUCUCACGAGCAAGCUUAAGCCGGUAGGUGGAGGCGCAGCGAAAGCGAGUCUUAAAAGGGCGUCGAGUUCGUGGGAUCAGACCCGAAACCAGGUGAUCUAGCCAUGAGCAGGAUGAAGUCAGGGUAACACCUGAUGGAGGUCCGAACCAACACCCGUUGAAAAGGGUCUGGAUGACUUGUGGCUAGGGGUGAAAGGCCAAUCAAACCUGGAGAUAGCUGGUUCUCCGCGAAAGCUAUUUAGGUAGCGCCUCGGACGAAUACCUCGGGGGGUAGAGCACUGCAUGGAUGAUGGGGGCCCACAGCCUUACUGAGUCUAAGCAAACUCCGAAUACCCGAGAGUACUAUCCGGGAGACACACGGCGGGUGCUAACGUCCGUCGUGAAGAGGGAAACAACCCUGACCUGCAGCUAAGGCCCCCAAUUCGUGGCUAAGUGGGAAAGCAUGUGGGACGGCCAAAACAACCAGGAGGUUGGCUUAGAAGCAGCCAUCCUUUAAAGAUAGCGUAACAGCUCACUGGUCUAGAUAAGCUGUCCUGCGGCGAAGAUGUAACGGGGCUCAAGCCACGAGCCGAAGCUCAGGAUGCACAGCAAUGUGCGUGGUAGCGGAGCGUUCCGUGAUAUAGCGCACUGUCUGUUCUAAUGAUCGCGACACCAAUGCGCUCAAGCAGCGAAGCGGUAGCGCGCGCAUAUGCGCAGACAAGGCGCUUUCUGUGAAGCCGGGCCGUAAGGCAUCCGGUGGAGAGAUCGGAAGCGAGAAUGUUGACAUGAGUAGCGACAAACAGGGUGAGAGACCCUGUCGCCGAAAGUCCAAGGGUUCCUGCUUAAAGCUAAUCUGAGCAGGGUGAGCCGGCCCCUAAGGCAAGGCCGAAAGGCGUAGUCGAUGGGAACCAGGUUAAUAUUCCUGGGCCAGGAGGAUGUGACGGAUCGCAGGUGUAGUUCGGCCUUAUCGGAUUGGCCGGGCUGCUGAGCGGUCCCUGGAAAUAGCCCUCCAUCAGACCGUACCCUAAACCGACACAGGUGGACUGGUAGAGAAUACCAAGGCGCUUGAGAGAACCACAUCAAAGGAACUCGGCAAAAUGCCUCCGUAAGUUCGCGAGAAGGAGGCCCCGUCUUUGGGCAACCAGAGGCGGGGGGCACAAACCAGGGGGUGGCGACUGUUUACUUAAAACACAGGGCUCUGCGAAGCCGCAAGGCGACGUAUAGGGUCUGACGCCUGCCCGGUGCUGGAAGGUUAAAAGGAGAGGUGCAAGCCUUGAAUUGAAGCCCCAGUAAACGGCGGCCGUAACUAUAACGGUCCUAAGGUAGCGAAAUUCCUUGUCGGGUAAGUUCCGACCUGCACGAAUGGCGUAACGAUCUCCCCGCUGUCUCUGAUGUGGACUCAGCGAAAUUGAACUGUGUGUCAAGAUGCACACUUCCCGCGGUUAGACGGAAAGACCCCAUGAACCUUUACUAUAGCUUCGCACUGGCAUCAGGAAUGUGAUGUGCAGGAUAGGUGGUAGGCAUCGAAACGGGGACGCCAGUUCCCGUGGAGCCAACCUUGAGAUACCACCCUUCGCAUUCUUGAUGUCUAACCGCGGUCCAUUACCUGGAUCCGGGACCCUGCGUGGUGGGUAGUUUGACUGGGGCGGUCGCCUCCCAAACAGUAACGGAGGCGCGCGAUGGUGGGCUCAGACCGGUCGGAAAUCGGUCGUCGAGUGCAAUGGCAGAAGCCCGCCUGACUGCAAGACUGACAAGUCGAGCAGAGACGAAAGUCGGCCAUAGUGAUCCGGUGGUCCCGAGUGGAAGGGCCAUCGCUCAACGGAUAAAAGGUACUCUGGGGAUAACAGGCUGAUGAUGCCCAAGAGUCCAUAUCGACGGCAUCGUUUGGCACCUCGAUGUCGGCUCAUCUCAUCCUGGGGCUGGAGCAGGUCCCAAGGGUAUGGCUGUUCGCCAUUUAAAGAGGUACGUGAGCUGGGUUUAGAACGUCGUGAGACAGUUCGGUCCCUAUCUGCCGUGGGUGUAGGAGACUUGAGAAGAGUUGCCCCUAGUACGAGAGGACCGGGGUGAACGAACCACUGGUGGACCAGUUGUCGUGCCAACGGCAGUGCUGGGUAGCUAUGUUCGGACAGGAUAACCGCUGAAGGCAUCUAAGCGGGAAGCCCCCUUCAAAACAAGGUCUCCCUUGAGGGCCGUGGAAGACCACCACGUCGAUAGGCCAGAGGUGUAAGCGCAGCAAUGCGUUCAGCUGACUGGUACUAAUUGCCCGAUUGGCUUGAUCUGAACCGG
rnacentral:rRNA from 2 species